rnacentral:rRNA from 1 species
GACGAACGCUGGCGGCGUGCUUAACACAUGCAAGUCGAACGGAAAGGCCCUGCUUUUGUGGGGUGCUCGAGUGGCGAACGGGUGAGUAACACGUGAGUAACCUGCCCUUGACUUUGGGAUAACUUCAGGAAACUGGGGCUAAUACCGGAUAGGAGCUCCUGCUGCAUGGUGGGGGUUGGAAAGUUUCGGCGGUUGGGGAUGGACUCGCGGCUUAUCAACUUGUUGGUGGGGUAGUGGCUUACCAAGGCUUUGACGGGUAGCCGGCCUGAGAGGGUGACCGGCCACAUUGGGACUGAGAUACGGCCCAGACUCCUACGGGAGGCAGCAGUGGGGAAUAUUGCACAAUGGGCGGAAGCCUGAUGCAGCAACGCCGCGUGCGGGAUGACGGCCUUCGGGUUGUAAACCGCUUUCGCCUGUGACGAAGCGUGAGUGACGGUAAUGGGUAAAGAAGCACCGGCUAACUACGUGCCAGCAGCCGCGGUGAUACGUAGGGUGCGAGCGUUGUCCGGAUUUAUUGGGCGUAAAGGGCUCGUAGGUGGUUGAUCGCGUCGGAAGUGUAAUCUUGGGGCUUAACCCUGAGCGUGCUUUCGAUACGGGUUGACUUGAGGAAGGUAGGGGAGAAUGGAAUUCCUGGUGGAGCGGUGGAAUGCGCAGAUAUCAGGAGGAACACCAGUGGCGAAGGCGGUUCUCUGGGCCUUUCCUGACGCUGAGGAGCGAAAGCGUGGGGAGCGAACAGGCUUAGAUACCCUGGUAGUCCACGCUGUAAACGGUGGGUACUAGGUGUGGGGUCCAUUCCACGGGUUCCGUGCCGUAGCUAACGCUUUAAGUACCCCGCCUGGGGAGUACGGCCGCAAGGCUAAAACUCAAAGGAAUUGACGGGGCCCCGCACAAGCGGCGGAGCAUGCGGAUUAAUUCGAUGCAACGCGUAGAACCUUACCUGGGUUUGACAUGGAUCGGGAGUGCUCAGAGAUGGGUGUGCCUCUUUUGGGGUCGGUUCACAGGUGGUGCAUGGCUGUCGUCAGCUCGUGUCGUGAGAUGUUGGGUUAAGUCCCGCAACGAGCGCAACCCUUGUUCACUGUUGCCAGCACGUUAUGGUGGGGACUCAGUGGAGACCGCCGGGGUCAACUCGGAGGAAGGUGGGGAUGACGUCAAGUCAUCAUGCCCCUUAUGUCCAGGGCUUCACGCAUGCUACAAUGGCUGGUACAGAGAGUGGCGAGCCUGUGAGGGUGAGCGAAUCUCGGAAAGCCGGUCUCAGUUCGGAUUGGGGUCUGCAACUCGACCUCAUGAAGUCGGAGUCGCUAGUAAUCGCAGAUCAGCAACGCUGCGGUGAAUACGUUCCCGGG